UUGGCACGUUAGCACGUUAUUGCAAUAUCCCAUAGUACAUACAUGUUAUUAAAACUUGAACUAAUGCAUUGUGAGUCUUAUAAAUUGCUUACAUACCUCACCGAUUUCCCACUGUCUGGAAAACGCUCGGUUUAGUUCCUGUCUCCGCCUCCCAAAAUGUCUAGUGUAAUCGGAUUGGUCAGAUGACUACUCAACUGUUAUUGGUCAGCUGGGUUCGGCGUGUGUUUGAAAGGUUACGCCCCUGACUACGCGUGGGUUGACACAGAUUCUGACUGAGAGUCACAGCCUCAGAGGCAACGUAAACAAGCGUUAUAUUUCUCUAUAAACGAUGGUGUCUGUACUGCCUUACCACUUCGAGCUCGAUCCAGAGAGUUCAGAAGGCCGUUACGAUAUAAACGAUCUCCGUCAAUGAAUGCGAUUGGAUUUAACUUUUUUAGGUGUCCUUAGCUCUGCCAGAAUGCUAAACGAAGACGAAAAUGUGUUGCAAAGACAUCCAAAAGGUUUUAAGGAGAAUGCAACAGGUUCCAGGGCCUCUUACCUGCGUGAUUCAUCAUCCAGAUAUGCUUGGAGCUUCCUGAUUGGAAUGUUGGCUUCCGACGACCCCUGCACUGAAGAUGGCAUGCAAUCACGUCCUCCUUUGAAGGUUUCUCAAACUGUGAUGCCAGGUCCAUUGGAAUCGGGGUUUCCUUCAGC